UUCCUAACCUAGCUACCGUACUGCCGUUACCAUUAUCGUUUCCAUCUCCGAGAAAGAGAGAGAAGAGAGAGACAGAGAGCGGGACCAGGGAGUGAGCAAGAAAAAGCCAGGAAACAAGAUAGAGGAGGGUGAUGGACGGUGCUGAUCGCUGGAACGUGAAAAGUAUCGGAUGUCAACGGCAGGAUAAAACGAUAUUCAACCGGAUGAUGCUCAGAUUCCGUCCGAUUGCACCGAAACCAGCCACCGGCGGCUCCAAUUCUAUGCCGGAGAAUAAAAACAACACUUUUGUCACGAAAGCAAGGAAGAAGAGAAAGUACGUUAGGCUUCGCAGGAAUAACAAUGGAAACAAGAAAAAGAAGACGGUUCCUGUGGAAGAGAGCAAAGACUGGUUGGACAAGAAGAUUGUGACACUGCAACUGUUGCCUGAGGGAGCUGAAAACAAAGAUCUAGACACUGGAGACACCGGGUCUAAGGUUAAUCCUACCGCUGGAAAACUUGCAGCCGACGAUCAUGAGGAUGGGGACCCCCGAAUGUGGCUGAAGGACAAGAAAUGGGUGUUCGAUAGCGUGAAUCCCGAUGCCCGGUCAGAUCGGACAGUGGUUACGGCACCGAUGAGGGUGGUGGAGUCCUGGGUGACAGUGGGUAGCGUGACGGACACGUGCAUGGAUGUACGAUGGUUAGGGUGUACGGACGGAGAAAUAAUUAAGAAUCUCGAAAGGGACACGUGUCCGGGGUUUAUAUCAGAUGGCUACGAGAAGGUACAGUGGGUGAAUGAGGCGUACAAGAGGAUGGUGAGUGAGGACAGUGACGGGCAGUCACCGGAGUGUACAGUGAGGUUGGUGGCGAAGGAGAAGUUUCCCUAUUUACACCCGGGGUUUACGGGUCAAGUGAGGCUACAGCAUACGUGGCGGAACCAGAAAUGUUCAAAGGUAAUGCCCUGCGAUGUGUGGAGGAUGGAGUUCGGAGGGUUUGCAUGGAGGUUGGACGUCAAGGCAGCGCUAAGUCUGGGGCUUUAGGAUGCGAAGAAAGUAUCAAACAUCAAAGAGAUCUCUCAGGUAAGCAAUAAUUCUAUGACAUUGAAUGUUAAAGUGAUAACAACAUGCAAGUUUUAGAAGUAUAUAUAAUUACCAUGACAAUGCAAACAGGAUGGCCUUUAGCUGUUUUUAUUCUUGGGGAUGCAAGCUGGGAAAAAUAAUAGCCGUAAAAACCACGUCAAGAUAAUUAAGGAAGCAUUAAGGUUGAAACACUGCCACGUGGGGGUUCUGGGAAAUUCCCAUUGGGCCACAUUUUGAUAAUAAACUAGUCAAUUAGCUAGCCUCAAGAAAAAGGAUUUUAUAAUGUCCAAGAUUCUCAUGAUACAGUACAGCUAGGAACUCAUCUUUAGCUUGGUGAAAGUUUAUAUUUUUGGCUCUAAUGUAUGAUUGUUUGGUCUAUACUAGUAUUCUUAUUAUAUGAGUUGAAGUGGUCUGAAAGUAUCACGAGGGACCGCAAGCUCUACCAAACUGUUUUGACGUUUUAACUUUGUACGAUUAAAAAAAAAAAACAAGUGUCGGGAGUUGUUGUGCUGUAAAAGCAUACAUAAACAGUACAUACAUUUCACAAAAAGUACUAAAUUUAGAAAAUGACAGUAUAUUAUGUCGCAAGAGAUAAUACGAUAAAAAAUAAAAAAUAUCCAAGUGUCGACUGUUGGGAGAGUCUAUAAAUCAACCAAAGCCAUUUAUAACCUAUUAUAGACCCUUUUACGGUAAGAAAAGUAGAAUAUAUUCCAUCGAUAGGUUACUUACUUACACGUCGCACUACUAGAGAAACCUAUCCAAUCAAGCCCUGGUUUGGAACCCGAUGACGUCAAAAAAUCUAUCACCAGAUCCUCACCGGCAUCGAACCCUCCACGCGUCCUCGUCCUACAAAGCUAUCAAUGACAGAAAACGACGCCUAUCCCACACCCACUACUGCUCUGUUUCCAUCAUCUAACAGAUCGUUUUCCAUCUCUCCGCCUAUGUAACAGCGUGAUUCUCACGCUCUUUAUAGAGAGUGUAUCAGUUAGGCGACCAACUGUUAGAACUGAACUUCGUUGUUUGGAGCUAAUAACAGACAACCACGUGUGCACUUUCUCGAACCUCCCCAAGGUUCUUACCCACAUGACCAAACAUUACUCUAAGCCCUAGACAGAGCCCACGUCCACCUAUCCUUUCGGCAGUGCAGGACACCUCCUCUUCUCUCAUUGGUUCCCUUGUGUAACCAGACAGCGUUGCUCAAUUACGCCGGAUACGCUACUUUUCUACGGGGCCCACCCUAAAUCUAACCAAUCAGAUUGCGUCACUGUUUAAGGGUAGGCCUGGACACGUGUUUUGUCACGCUAGGUUACUGUGAACUGUGUUGCUUUGAUUAUCGCCUGAGCUCAAACAGAGGCAUUUAGAGUGAUGGAGAGAUAUAUAAAAACAGAGAGAGAUACAGUGCUGUUGCUUUAGUAACGGAUAUGGAGGGAGGAGCAGGGCGGUGCAUGAAAAGUUACGCUGUAGGUGUGCAGGACAAGGUUAUAAUGAAUCGGAUAAUGCCCAGAUUCCGACCGAUUGCGCCAAAACCGGCCACCGGAGGCUCUGGUUCGGGUGGUUCAGCGACUGAUAACAAGGACAUGUUUAUGAAAAAAGGAAGAACAAAGAGGAAGUAUGUUAGGGUUCGGAAGAAUAAUCCUGGGACUAGGCCAAAAAAAAGUACAGCCGAGGGAGAAAUGAAAGAAUAUAAAGAUGGGUUGAACAAGAAGGUGGUGACUCUGCAACUUUUGCCACAGAAUAGUGAACGGAAUGAAUCUCCGGAGAGUGGAUCUGGGUGCAGUUCUGAUCUUACGGAAACAAUCAAGAACUGUCAGGGAAUUGGGGUCCCACCCAUGUGUUUGAACUUCAACAAGGCUGUCCGUAAUGACCUGGAUAGGACGGUGGUGAUGCGACAGAUGAGGGGUGUAAUGGAGUCGUGGGUGACGGUGGAGAGCGUGACCGACACAUGCAUGGAUGUGCGAAGGCUGGGGUGUACGGACGUGGAGCGUAUGAGAAAUCUAGCAGAGGACACGUGUCCCGGGUUCGUAUCGGACGAUUCGAAUAGGGUUUUCUGGGUGAAUGGGGCUUUCAAGAAGAUGAUGAGCCGCCGUAAUGACGGCCUGUCACCGGAAAUAAUAACGGUGUGGUUAGUGGCGAAAGAGAAGCUGCCGUACUUGUACACGGCCUUUACGUGCCAAGUAAAGCUGCAAUACACGAGGGGGAAGGAUAGCUUCACGCAAAUACUGCCUUGUGAUGCGUGGAAGAUGGACGGUGGAGGAUUUGCAUGGAGGCUAGACGUUGAAGCUGCCCUCAGUUUGGGCCGUUGAUUGGGGGGAUCAAACGGCAAAGAUAUAAAAGAACUCAGUCGGCUUGCGUAGUCACCGUGUAACUGUGGGACGUGACCUAACAUGUAGUAUUAAUGAAACGUUGAAGAGAAGGGGUACGUACGUGCGUACUUUACAUGUGAGAGACUAGUAUUGUAGAAAGUGUACAUUUUGUAAGAAACAGAUCAAGACUAUGGUAUUCUAUUGCAAGCACUAUGAUUAAGACGGACGGGGGACCAAGGUACUGAACCCGGAGUAGUACUCGUGGUUGGGAAAAAGCCUAAAUAAAUUUUACCCACCGAUGCAAGUGAUCGUCGAUCAUCAUCAGAUAGAUCGUGAUGCUAAAGUUUGUCUGAGAUUGCAUAAGUCGUCUACCCAUUGCAAGAGGGAAGGAACAACAUCGGAGAGUGGACAUUAAUAUAACUUUGGUGACAAGAAUGUUGACAAUGUAUAUGCAGCUUGCUAGCUACGUGUUUGGCAUCUCUUAUCUAAAGCACAUUUAAUUUAUGAAGGAAAUUUUCUUGCUU